rnacentral:lncRNA from 1 species
CACGGCAUAGGGUGGAAGACGCGGCUGACCGCUUGGCCCCAUCAGUCGGUGAGAGAAAAGGGUUGGGCCCAGUCGUCAUACACAGAGAAAGAAGGGGAAAGGUAGAGGAUGCGGGGCUGGGCCAAGCUGCUGCGAGUUGGUCCAGGAGAGGGGAAGUGGGCCGAGGGGAGAGGGUUUGGGGCCUGCGGCCGAAAUAGAGAGAGGAGAGCUGGGACUUCAGGCCAAAAGCAGUGGGGAAGUUUUCCCUUUUCUUUUCUUUUGUUUUCUUUUUGGUUUCUUUUUUUAAAAGCCUAUUUCAAAACAAAUUUUGAAAACCAUCUUAAAAUCAGUUUGAAUCAUUUUGUAUUUUGGGAUCAAAUCACUCAGUACAACAAAAUAAAUUCUCUAGCAUGAGUGCACAUCCAUGUUGCUAAAUUCUAUGAUAGAUUUUAUUUAAAUGAAAAAUAUUAUUUUUCUAUGUUUCAUGAGCACAAAAAUUUCCAACUUAAAUCAAUUUAGUUUCUUUACAAAAGGACAAAUUUUAGGGUGUUACAAAUCUACCCCCUUAAAAUGAAUCUCGUACUCGAGAUUCGAAAGAGACACGGAUCCUCUCAGAAAGAACAGGAAGAAGAUCUUGAUAACUCUUUCAACUUUACAACUUGCAUG